CCUACGGGAGGCAGCAGUGGGGAAUAUUGCACAAUGGGGGGAACCCUGAUGCAGCAACGCCGCGUGGGUGAAGAAGUACUUCGGUAUGUAAAGCUCUGUCAGCAGGGAAGAAAAUGACGGUACCUGAGCAAGAAGCCCCGGCUAACUACGUGCCAGCAGCCGCGGUAAUACGUAGGGGGCAAGCGUUAUCCGGAUUUACUGGGUGUAAAGGGAGCGUAGACGGCAAGGCAAGUCUGGAGUGAAAGGCGGUGGCUCAACCCCGGGACUGCUCUGGAAACUGUAUGGCUGGAGUGCAGGAGGGGUAAGUGGAAUUCCUAGUGUAGCGGUGAAAUGCGUAGAUAUUAGGAGGAACACCAGUGGCGAAGGCGGCUUACUGGACUGUAACUGACGUUGAGGCUCGAAAGCGUGGGGAGCAAACAGGAUUAGAUACCCCUGUAGUC
rnacentral:rRNA from 1 species